rnacentral:misc_RNA from 1 species
GUGGGAGCUGGCUUGCCUGCGAUGGCGGUGGGUCAGUCGACAUCAAUGUUGAAUGAUAAACCGCUAUCGCAGGCAAGCCAGCUCCCAC